rnacentral:rRNA from 1 species
GACGAACGCUGGCGGCGUGCCUAAUACAUGCAAGUAGAACGCUGAAGAGAGGAGCUUGCUCUUCUUGGAUGAGUUGCGAACGGGUGAGUAACGCGUAGGUAACCUGCCUUGUAGCGGGGGAUAACUAUUGGAAACGAUAGCUAAUACCGCAUAACAAUGGAUGACACAUGUCAUUUAUUUGAAAGGGGCAAUUGCUCCACUACAAGAUGGACCUGCGUUGUAUUAGCUAGUAGGUGAGGUAACGGCUCACCUAGGCGACGAUACAUAGCCGACCUGAGAGGGUGAUCGGCCACACUGGGACUGAGACACGGCCCAGACUCCUACGGGAGGCAGCAGUAGGGAAUCUUCGGCAAUGGGGGCAACCCUGACCGAGCAACGCCGCGUGAGUGAAGAAGGUUUUCGGAUCGUAAAGCUCUGUUGUAAGUCAAGAACGAGUGUGAGAGUGGAAAGUUCACACUGUGACGGUAGCUUACCAGAAAGGGACGGCUAACUACGUGCCAGCAGCCGCGGUAAUACGUAGGUCCCGAGCGUUGUCCGGAUUUAUUGGGCGUAAAGCGAGCGCAGGCGGUUUGAUAAGUCUGAAGUUAAAGGCUGUGGCUCAACCAUAGUUCGCUUUGGAAACUGUCAAACUUGAGUGCAAAAGGGGAGAGUGGAAUUCCAUGUGUAGCGGUGAAAUGCGUAGAUAUAUGGAGGAACACCGGUGGCGAAAGCGGCUCUCUGGUCUGUAACUGACGCUGAGGCUCGAAAGCGUGGGGAGCGAACAGG